GUACUCAUCCUGGUAGCAUACAUACUAAAAUUGAAACAAUACAGAGAUUGAGAUUAGCAUGGGCCUGACACAAGGAUGACACACAGCUCUGAGAAGCAUUCCAUAUUAAA